CGUGUAAGUUAGAAGUCUGACGGAGCACGCCGCGUGAGUGAUGAAGGCUUUCGGGUCGUAAAACUCUGUUGUUAGGGAAGAACAAGUACAAGAGUAACUGCUUGUACCUUGACGGUACCUAACCAGAAAGCCACGGCUAACUACGUGCCAGCAGCCGCGGUAAUACGUAGGUGGCAAGCGUUAUCCGGAAUUAUUGGGCGUAAAGCGCGCGCAGGCGGUUUCUUAAGUCUGAUGUGAAAGCCCACGGCUCAACCGUGGAGGGUCAUUGGAAACUGGGGAACUUGAGUGCAGAAGAGAAAAGCGGAAUUCCACGUGUAGCGGUGAAAUGCGUAGAGAUGUGGAGGAACACCAGUGGCGAAGGCGGCUUUUUGGUCUGUAACUGACGCUGAGGCGCGAAAGCGUGGGGAGCAAACAGGAUUAGAUACCCUGGUAGUCCACGCCGUAAACGAUGAGUGCUAAGUGUUAGAGGGUUUCCGCCCUUUAGUGCUGCAGCUAACGCAUUAAGCACUCCCCCCGGGG
rnacentral:rRNA from 2 species